CCGUGUGUGGAGGGGGAGAAUUCCUACGGGUGGGUUUCCGAAUAUUGUGUUCAACUUUUUGAAAGCAGCUCGUGACCCCGAAACUGCAUCCCCCCCGGAGCCGGGGACCCAGGCGCCAGGCGGGCGGGUGAACCCGGCCAGUCCCUCCCAAUCCCCGCAACCCCCCGCCUCCGUGUGUGGGGGGGGGACCCAGGCCUGGAGGAAGGCUGGGCAGGUGCCGAGGGCUGUGCCGAAAGCGCUGAAAUCGAAAACCCUCGCCACUCAGGAAGAAUUGAGGCACAAGGAUUACAGAUGCAGCUCGGGAACAGCCCUGUACUCCAGCCAGUGCCUGGUCGCCCGUGGGCCCACCGGGCUCCGCGGUUCGCUGGCGGCGCCGCCUUGUGAGCGCUAAAGCCGGGAGGAGGGCUCAGGCAAGGCGCGCAGCUCUGAGCGCGCCCCUACCCGCUUCGGCCCGCAGCAGCCGGGACUUGCCUCUCCGCAAGUAAGGCUCUGCGCCGCCCUCUGAGUCCACCUCCAGGCCACAACACUGCCAGCGCUUCUGCAGCUUAGACUGGAAACACUAUGCUGCCUCCCGAAGCCGGGCCAGCUGUAAAUCAGUGAAGCAGCCCAGCUCCUCAAAGAUCCGGAGCUGGCCGACCCCAGACUGAUUCUCAACAGGUGGCUGGGUUACCAAACAGCUUGGACCUUUGAAUCAGAUCUCUGGAGUGAGCACUAAGAACUUGAGCCAUACAGAUCUCAGGGCCUGGCCUUUUCACUCCGCCACGAAGGCUGCUUGAGGGAGGGGAAGAGGUGGCUUCACUCAGCGCCAAAGCACAGAAAAAGGCUGACAGUUAGACUAAUAUUCAUCCUUUAAGAAUAUACUACCUGAAGUUAGUCGCAAGUCAUCUUCAAUCACGGAAAGGAAAAAAAAAACAAAAAAACAAAAAAACCAAACACCUCACAUCUGGAAGAUUCUCUGAAGCCACUUCCAACAGCACCAGAACGAGUGCACUCAGGCCCUGCUCUGUGCACGCCCCAGUGUCUGCUGUCUCGCGGGCAGGUGAAAAUACUGGCUGCCAAGGCCAGAGGAGAGAAGACAGUGGAGGAUUACUUACCGCUAGAGUUGUUUGGAAACUUGUGAUAACUGUUUUCAAUACUCUGCCUCUGCUAUCCAGGUCCUAGGUCCCUCUAGGGACCCUGAAAAGUGGCUUUGCCCCAGGGUGCCUAGAGGGAGACAGUGAUUCGAACUCUGGCUCUCUCCUACUGGGAGCUUAAAGUUGGGGUGAAGGCUUAAGGAGGAGACGAGGGGGCGGGCCCUGCUAGUUUGCAGUGGUAAGCGCAUCUGUGCCUAGGUCGCCAAAAGGUUCCCUGAGGUUAACUAUGGAGCCUCGGCUCUCUCCUGAGACCCAGGGCAACACAGAUGAUGGUGGUCGGUAUGUCAGUCUAAAUGUCACAAGACUUCACUGGUCUCUUAUUUUGGCUGUUUGUAGCUACUCUCUGCCAGGGAGGUUCUAGAAGCUAUUCACACCCGUCCUGAAUCUAUCCUGUGAGGUGGCAGAGGGUAGCUUGUUUUUGUAAAGGUUAGCAUAAUACUUAGUAGGAAGAAUACACUAGAGGAAGGUGUGAAAAAAGCCUAGGACUCUCAAACUUACCAACCUUACAGCCCACCCAAAGCCCAGAACCUCCCCUUGCACACCUCCUCUCCCCAAGACAGAUCCAUCUGGUGUUCACGGAAGGUAUUCACACUGCAAGUGUCUGGGAACACACUUAGGAAAAUUAUAGGAACUGGAGGAAUAAAGUACUUUAUUCCUCAGUACUGGAGGAAUAAAGAUAUGUCCAAGGAAUGGAUCGAAUGCAUGGACACUCACCCUGUCGUCCAGGAUGCAGACAAAAACUACUUUGUCCACAUGGGUACUUUCUACAAGAUAUCCAGUGACCCUGGAGAAAGAAACUUCGUUGAAUCUUCUGUAUGGAAUGUUUCAGGCCACGUUCUGAAGAAAGGGCCAAGGAAUCCUCUAUCCCAGAGGCUCCCUUUGGGUUCUCCUACCUGCUCUGUUGGAGACACCCAGAAGAGGGCAAUACAGGAAGGUUCCUUUUUGCUUCAGUUAUUUCUGUUGGUUGUCUUUUUCACCCUUUGCCUGGGAAAUUGUGCUCUGGAAUAGGGCUUGAGUAAACAGCACAGAUGGCCUCCACUACAUGACAAGAGAUUCUCAAUUUCCAGAUAAGGGAAAGCCCUGUUUUGUCCCCUUUUCUCCUCUGUGGUCUGAAAAAACAAAAAACAAAAAACAACCCUAUAGCCCAACCCCGUGUACAUCAAACAAACCCACAAGGAAUAUGCUAGACCAAGAUAGUUAUAUAUUUUACUAAUUUUCUUUUGUGAGAUAGUGAGAAGUCUUCAACUUCCUCUAUUCCAGGCAGGGAUUGAGGCCCUAGCCUGAAAGAGACCUCACCAACCGGGUUUCCACAGUGAUUCUGGGGCUCGGCUUAAGGUUGCUUUUCUCUCACCCCCGAAUGGGGAGUCACCUGCUGAUGCACGUCAGGAGAGCCUGAAGAAGUGAGCAUCAACGCUCCAGAGAUGGGUCCUCACCUCCCAAGGUGCCUUCACUCCCAGAGGGCCCGGGCUCUCUGCCACAGCCCAACACUGGGCUUGCGCUCAGAGAGAAGGAAUAAGUGCUCUGAGGUUUGAACUCUGAAGUAUAAACUUACUCUGGCUGUGGUGGCAUAGACUUGUGGUACGUCAGCAGUCCACGGUCAGCCUUGUCUACAUAGCAAGUUUAAGGCCAGUCUGGACUACAUGAGACCAUGUCUGAAAAAAAGAAAAGCCCCAAGUGGAAAACGGAAAGCAGAAAAGAGAAUAUUCCUAGUGCGACAAGAAAUGUUCACCUCUCUCGAUGAUUUCUCUGCAGAAUGUGUUUAUAUGCUACGUGAUCUGUGGAGAAUCACCAAGCUGUGGAGGAAGAGAGGAAUAUGUAGACCCAAGCAGAAUUCUCAAAGAAUUUCUAGACGCUCCGAACCCAAGUCACACAGGCUUUAAGUAUUGGUCAAUCUCCAGGAAUGAAACAGAAACUUACUCCACCACUCAAGUCCUGUUUCUGAUCGAGGGACUAAAGGGCUAGGCCAACCAGUGGUUGCCAUGGAAGCUGCAUUAUGGAGUCCUGUCCUGCAAGGAGAGUUAGAUUAGAAGGAGCUGGGAUUCUUGGAAUCUGCAGAAGCAGCAUGCUGGGUAGGAAGAACCCAGAAAGCGUGCCUCUGAGACAGUCAGUCUGUCCACAUACAAAAGGCAGGCACCCACAGGGCUGGGGGGGCUAUUAAGUCAAACCUGGAGUCACAACCCCAGUGCCGUCAGACGGUCCCCAACCCUUUGCAGCAAGGUAGACAUGUGUCAGUGUGGCUGAAAAGCUUCUUCUGUGAGGUUUAACAACUUUCUGGUGUAACUUCUGAGAGGACUGAUUGCUUAUUCAUGUGGAAGCAAGACGCCCAGUUCACUUCG
rnacentral:sRNA from 1 species